rnacentral:lncRNA from 1 species
AUUUUAUUCAUUAUGCAUUUUUAUUUCGUUUCAUGACAUUCAUUUUUUAUCAAUUAUGGACUUUUGACGUGGUCAAUACGUUACAUAUGACCCUGUUCAGAUUAUAUUGACCAUAGACGAUAUCCGAUUGUCAAUAUAAUCUAACAGGUCCAUAUAUUACGUAUAGUGAAAGUCCCUAAGUUUUAUAUUACAUAUUUUCGAUCAGUGUGCUAUGUGUAUUUUUAAUCUGUAUUUUGCAAGAAUUUUAACAUGUAAUUGAAAAUAUCAAUAUUUUUUAUUAUCAAUUUCAUAGCUUGUUACAUAUGCUUUCUUGUUAUUUUUAGCUUCUUCUUUCAACAUAAAGGAGUAGGUCCGGUAAGGACCGAUUUUGGCCUCAAAUUUCAGGUUCAUCUGACGUAAGAUUUUUACCAUUUUUUAUACACUUAAGU